rnacentral:lncRNA from 1 species
UUUUGGUUACCAGUUUUAAGAAUGACCUUUUUAGCACAUUCUAUUUAGCAUGCAUACUGACAUAAUUUUCACACUAUAUAAUAUACUAUAUGUAAUAAUAAUAAUAUAUUGUCCUGGUUUCAGUUAGCACAGAAUUAAUUUUCUUCCUAGUAGCUGGUGGAAUGCUGUGUUUUGGCUUAGGAUGAGAAGAGUGCUGAUAACACCCCGAUGCUUUAAUUGUUGCAGAGCAGUGCUUAUACUAAGCCAAGGACAUCUCAGCCUUUUGCUCUGUCCUGCCAACGGGCAGGCUGGGGGUGCAGUAAGAGCUGGGAGGGGACAGACCCAGGACAGGUGACCCAAACUAGCCAAAGGGGGUAUUCCAUACCAUCUGACGUCAUGCUAAACAAUAUAUAGGGGUGGCUAGCUGGGGGGAGGGGGCCGGACUGCUCGGGGUUAGGCUGGGCAUCGGUCAGCGUGUGGUGAGCAAUUGCAUUGUGCAUCACUUGUUUGUACAUACUAUUACUUUCGUAUUAUCACCAUUGUAUCAUUAUUAUUAUUAUUGUUAUUAUUAUUUUUGUUAUUAUUAUUUUCCUGUCUUAUUAAACUGUCUUUAUCUCAACUCACGGGCUUCACUCUCCAUUUCUCUCCCCCGUCCCAGAGAGGGAGGGGGGAGGGUGAGCGAACGGCUGCGUGGUGUUUAGCUGCCGGCCGGGUUAAACCACGACAUAUAUACUAUAUUCUACAUGUUUUUUAUUUAGCAUGGACCAAAGUCUUCCAUAAUGGAGGACUCUUGUAUUUUGAAAGCCUUCACCAUAAAGAAGCAAAUAUCAGAUCACAUGAGAGAAUCAGGUGGCUGGGAAUGUCUACUUUCCUGAAUGUGCCUUGAGGAAAUACUCACAAUGAAUGAACAGAUUUUGUUUUCUCAGUUAAAUCAUUCAUAAAAUUAAAAGCAGAGUAUUGCAUUUUCCUUUGAUGUAUUUCAGUUGUUUCAUAUGGCUUUAAGUUUGAACACUUUUUUUUUUUUUUUUUUUUGUUAUUUUUACCAAUCUGCCUGCUGCUAAUUCUCAGCUUGUGGUAGAGGAACUGAGACAUGAACAUAUGCUCUGAAAGAGAGGUUCUUUCACGUUUGAAUUUCAGAGAGUUCUGUCACUCCUUGAGCCCAAUAACCUCACAAAUUAAUUCCUUUUGCUUGCAG